rnacentral:rRNA from 1 species
ACAGCAGUAGCCGCGGUAAUACGUAGGUGGCAAGCGUUGUCCGGAAUUAUUGGGCGUAAAGCGCGCGCAGGUGGUUUAAUAAGUCUGAUGUGAAAGCCCACGGCUCAACCGUGGAGGGUCAUUGGAAACUGUUAAACUUGAGUGCAGGAGAGAAAAGUGGAAUUCCUAGUGUAGCGGUGAAAUGCGUAGAGAUUAGGAGGAACACCAGUGGCGAAGGCGGCUUUUUGGCCUGUAACUGACACUGAGGCGCGAAAGCGUGGGGAGCAAACAGGAUUAGAUACCCCAGUAGUCCCUGUCUCUUAUAC